CCUACGGGUGGCAGCAGUGGGGGAUAUUGCACAAUGGGGGAAACCCUGAUGCAGCAACGCCGCGUGAGGGAAGAAGGAUUUCGGGAUGGUAAACUCUAUCAGCAGGGAAGAGAAUUGCGGUAUCUAUCUAAGAAUGCCCGGCUAACUACGUGCCAGCAGCCGCGGUAAUACGUAAGGAGCGGGCGUUAUCCGGAUUUACUGGGUGUAAAGGGAGCGGAGACGGGUGGUUAAGUCUGAAGUGAAAGCCAGGGGCUUAACCCUGGAACGGCAUUGGAAACUGAGAACCUAGAGUGCUGGAGAGGUAAGCGGAAUUCCUAGUGUAGCGGUGAAAUGCGUAGAUAUUAGGAGGAACACCAGUGGCGAAGGCGGCCUGCUGGACUGUAACUGACGCUGAGGCUCGAAAGUGUGGGGAGCAAACAGGAUUAGAUACCCCAGUAGUC
rnacentral:rRNA from 1 species